rnacentral:rRNA from 1 species
UACGGAGGGGGCUAGCGUUGUUCGGAAUUACUGGGCGUAAAGCGCGCAGGCGGUCGUUCAAGUCGCGUGUGAAAGCCCCCGGCUCAACUGGGGAGGGUCACGCGAUACUGAUCGACUCGAAGGCAGGAGAGGGUAGUGGAAUUCCCGGUGUAGUGGUGAAAUGCGUAGAUAUCGGGAGGAACACCAGUGGCGAAGGCGACUACCUGGCCUGUUCUUGACGCUGAGGCGCGAAAGCUAGGGGAGCAAACGGG